CUUGAUGAGUAAAAUAUUAAGUCUAACCUGCCCUAUGAAAAUUUAAAUGGCCGCAGUAUUUUGACUGUGCAAAGGUAGCAUAAUCAUUUGUUUUUUAAUUGAAAGCUAGAAUGAAAGGUUGAAUGAAAAAAUAACUGUCUUUAUAUAAUUAUUAUAAUUUUAUUUUUAAGUUAAAAAGCUUAAAUUUAAUUUGAAGACGAGAAGACCCUAUAGAGUUUAAUAAUUAAUUUAUUUYAUAAUUUGGUAUUUAUUGGUAUUGAUUAAUUAAAUUUAUUUAAUUGGGGUGAUUGAAAAAUUUAAUUAACUUUUUUUUUAUAAAAACAUAAAUUAAUGGAAAAAUGAUCCUUAAUAAAGAUUAGAAGAUAAAAUUACCUUAGGGAUAACAGCGUAAUUUUUUUAAAGAGUUCAAAUCGAAAAAAAAGAUUGCGACCUCGAUGUUGGAUUAAAAUAAAAAUUUGGUGUAGAAGCUGAA
rnacentral:rRNA from 1 species